rnacentral:rRNA from 1 species
AACGAACGCUGGCGGCAGGCCUAAAACAUGCAAGUCGAACGCUCCAGCAAUGGAGAGUGGCAGACGGGUGAGUAACACGUGGGAACCUACCCUCUGGUUCGGAAUAGCCCAGGGAAACUUGGGGUAAUACCGGAUAAGCCCUUCGGGGGAAAGAUUUAUCGCCAGAGGAUGGGCCCGCGUCGGAUUAGCUAGUUGGUAGGGUAACGGCCUACCAAGGCGACGAUCCGUAGCUGGUCUGAGAGGAUGAUCAGCCACACUGGGACUGAGACACGGCCCAGACUCCUACGGGAGGCAGCAGUUGGGAAUAUUGGACAAUGGGCGCAAGCCUGAUCCAGCCAUGCCGCGUGAGUGACGAAGGCCUUCGGGUUGUAAAGCUCUUUUGGCGGGGAAGAUAAUGACGGUACCCGCAGAAUAAGCCCCGGCUAACUUCGUGCCAGCCGCCGCCGUAAAAC